GAUUGCAGGCUGAAACCCGCCUGUAUGAAGUUGGAAUCGCUAGUAAUCGCGGAUCAGCAUGCCGCGGUGAAUACGUUCCCGGGCCUUGUACACACCGCCCGUCACACCAUGAGAGUCGGGAACACCCGAAGUCCGUAGCCUAACCGCAAGGGGGGCGCGGCCGAAGGUGGGUUCGAUAAUUGGGGUGAAGUCGUAACAAGGUAGC
rnacentral:rRNA from 1 species